AUUGAACGCUGGCGGCAGGCCUAACACAUGCAAGUCGAACGGUAACAGGAAACAGCUUGCUGUUUCGCUGACGAGUGGCGGACGGGUGAGUAAUGUCUGGGAAACUGCCUGAUGGAGGGGGAUAACUACUGGAAACGGUAGCUAAUACCGCAUAACGUCGCAAGACCAAAGAGGGGGACCUUCGGGCCUCUUGCCAUCGGAUGUGCCCAGAUGGGAUUAGCUUGUUGGUGGGGUAACGGCUCACGAAGGCGACGAGCCCUAGCUGGUAUGAGGGGAUGAGCAGCCACACUGGAACGGAGACACGGACCAGACUCCUACUGGAGGCAGCAGUGGGGAAUAUUGAACAAGGGGCGCAAGCCUGAUGCAGCCAUGCCGCGUGUAUGAAGAAGGCCUUCGGGUUGUAAAGUACUUUCAGCGGGGAGGAAGGGAGUAAAGUUAAUACCUUUACUCAUUGACGUUACCCGCAGAAGAAGCACCGGCUAACUCCGUGCCAGCCGCCGCAGUAA
rnacentral:rRNA from 1 species